UACGUAGGGACCAAGCGUUGUUCGGAUUUACUGGGCGUAAAGGGCGCGUAGGCGGUUCGGUAAGUCACUUGUGAAAUCUCUGAGCUUAACUCAGAACGGCCAAGUGAUACUGCAGUGCUAGAGUGUGGAAGGGGCAAUCGGAAUUCUUGGUGUAGCGGUGAAAUGCGUAGAUAUCAGGAGGAACACCUGAGGUGAAGGCGGGUUGCUGGGCCAACACUGACGCUGAGGCGCGAAAGCCAGGGGAGCAAACGGG
rnacentral:rRNA from 1 species